GCCCUGGUAGUGUAGCCUGGCCUAGCACGAAGCCCUGUCGAGGCUUCAACUCGGGUUCAAAAAACUUCAAGUCCAAAAAAUUUAUCAAAAGGGCUGUGUUUGACUGUCCCGACCAGGGCG
rnacentral:tRNA from 1 species